rnacentral:rRNA from 1 species
UACCAGCACCCCGAGUGGUCGGGACGAUUAUUGGGCCUAAAGCAUCCGUAGCCGGUUCUACAAGUCUUCCGUUAAAUCCACUGCUUAACAGAUGGGCUGCGGAGGAUACUAUAGAGCUAGGAGGCAGGAGAGGCAAGCGGUACUCAGUGGGUAGGGGUAAAAAUCCGUUGAUCCAUUGAAGACCACCAGUGGCGAAGGCGGCUUGCCAGAAUCGCACUCGACGGUGAGGGAUGAAAGCUGGGGGGAGCAAACCGG